rnacentral:rRNA from 1 species
AUGAACGCUGGCGGCGUGCCUAAUACAUGCCAGUCGAGCGAACAGACGAGGAGCUUGCUCCUCUGACGUUAGCGGCGGACGGGUGAGUAACACGUGGAUAACCUACCUAUAAGACUGGGAUAACUUCGGGAAACCGGAGCUAAUGCCGGAUAAUAUAUUGAACCGCAUGGUUCAAUAGUGAAAGACGGUUUUGCUGUCACUUAUAGAUGGAUCCGCGCCGCAUUAGCUAGUUGGUAAGGUAACGGCUUACCAAGGCAACGAUGCGUAGCCGACCUGAGAGGGUGAUCGGCCACACUGGAACUGAGACACGGUCCAGACUCCUACGGGAGGCAGCAGUAGGGAAUCUUCCGCAAUGGGCGAAAGCUUGACGGAGCAACGCCGCGUGAGUGAUGAAGGUCUUCGGAUCGUAAAACUCUGUUAUUAGGGAAGAACAAAUGUGUAAGUAACUAUGCACGUCUUGACGGUACCUAAUCAGAAAGCCACGGCUAACUACGUG